GAUGAACGCUGGCGGCGUGCCUAAUACAUGCAAGUCGAGCGAACGGACGAGAAGCUUGCUUCUCUGUUGUUAGCGGCGGACGGGUGAGUAACACGUGGAUAACCUACCUAUAAGACUGGGAUAACUUCGGGAAACCGGAGCUAAUACCGGAUAAUAUUUUGAACCGCAUGGUUCAAAAGUAAAAGACGGUCUUGCUGUCACUUAUAGAUGGAUCCGCGCUGCAUUAGCUAGUUGGUAAGGUAACGGCUUACCAAGGCAACGAUGCAUAGCCGACCUGAGAGGGUGAUCGGCCACACUGGAACUGAGACACGGUCCAGACUCCUACGGGAGGCAGCAGUAGGGAAUCUUCCGCAAUGGGCGAAAGCCUGACGGAGCAACGCCGCGUGAGUGAUGAAGGUCUUCGGAUCGUAAAACUCUGUUAUUAGGGAAGAACAUAUGUGUAAGUAACUGUGCACAUCUUGACGGUACCUAAUCAGAAAGCCACGGCUAACUACGUG
rnacentral:rRNA from 1 species